GAUGAACGCUGGCGGCGUGCCUAAUACAUGCAAGUCGAGCGAACGGACGAGAAGCUUGCUUCUCUGAUGUUAGCGGCGGACGGGUGAGUAACACGUGGAUAACCUACCUAUAAGACUGGGUUAACUUCGGGAAACCGGAGCUAAUACCGGAUAAUAUUUUGAACCGCAUGGUUCAAAAGUGAAAGACGGUCUUGCUGUCACUUAUAGAUGGAUCCGCGCUGCAUUAGCUAGUUGGUAAGGUAACGGCUUACCAAGGCAACGAUGCAUAGCCGACCUGAGAGGGUGAUCGGCCACACUGGAACUGAGACACGGUCCAGACUCCUACGGGAGGCAGCAGUAGGGAAUCUUCCGCAAUGGGCGAAAGCCUGACGGAGCAACGCCGCGUGAGUGAUGAAGGCCUUCGGAUCGUAAAACUCUGUUAUUAGGGAAGAACAUAUGUGUAAGUAACUGUGCACAUCUUGACGGUACCUAAUCAGAAAGCCACGGCUAACUACGUG
rnacentral:rRNA from 1 species